GUAAUCAACGCGCCUGCCGCCGCUCGUCGACACCGCCGCCGUCCGUCGUCUGCACGCCACCAAAUAAUGUCGCAGCACACUAAAAACAACUGUUAAAUGAGUGGUGUGGAGUGGUGUGCGAUUGUUGACGUACUUCUCCAACCAGCACUAAGCAGAAAUUGAAGUGGUAUGAACAGCGACGCCACUGGACAGUGGACGACUGAGAAUGAACAAUUUGUCGUGCUGUACGACGCCUGUCGUCAGUGAAGAAUGGAGGUGACUUUGUUGUACAGUAUCUGUUUUCUAUUGUUAGGACUCGGUUCCAUUAUCACACUUAAGAAGAUGACAAAUGCGGACGGAUCGAGGACUCUUUUAUAGUGUUGUUUACUGCGCACAGUGGAGGAGCAAUUUUAUCAAAAUGGUAAUACAUCCUAUAAUAAAGCACUGUGUAUGAAA